GUGGGAGAGAGGUGAAGAGAGAGGGUGGAGGGAAAAAGAGAGAGGAGAGUAGAAUAUUAGGUGGGGGAGAGAGAAAGAAGAGAGAUUAGGAGUGAGAGAGGAGAGAGAGAUUGGGAGGGAAAGUGAGGAGAGAGAAAGGAGAUUGAAAAGUGAGAGAUUAGGAGGAAGAAUAAGCUCAGGGAGAGAUGAUAUUAAGAGAGAUAGAGAGAGGCUACAA
rnacentral:lncRNA from 1 species